UACAGAGGUCUCAAGCGUUGUUCGGAUUCAUUGGGCUUAAAGGGCGCGUAGGCGGGUUGCCAAGUCCGGGGUGAAAGCCCCCAGCUCAACUGGGGAAGUGCCUUGGAUACUGGCAGUCUUGAGGGAGGUAGGGGCAUGCGGAACUUCCGGUGGAGCGGUGAAAUGCGUAGAUAUCGGAAGGAACGCCGGUGGCGAAAGCGGCGUGCUGGACCUCUUCUGACGCUGAGGCGCGAAAGCCAGGGGAGCAAACGGG
rnacentral:rRNA from 1 species